rnacentral:tRNA from 1 species
GCCACCUUAGCUCAGUGGUAGAGCAGCGGUUUUGUAAACCGCAGGCCGUCAGUUCAAGCCUGACAGGUGGCUCCA